rnacentral:hammerhead_ribozyme from 1 species
CACUGUUGACGAGUCCCAUAAUAGGACGAAACGGUCGUCUAGGGC